GACAGAGGGUGCAACGUUGUUCGGAAUUACUGGGCGUAAAGCGUGUGUAGGCGGCCAUGUAAGUCGGAUGUGAAAGCCCCGGGCUCAACCCGGGAAGUGCACUCGAUACUGCGUGGCUUGAGUACCGGAGAGGUUGGUGGAAUUCUCGGUGUAGAGGUGAAAUUCGUAGAUAUCGAGAGGAACACCGGUGGCGAAGGCGGCCAACUGGACGGAUACUGACGCUGAGGCGCGAAAGCGUGGGGAGCAAACAGG
rnacentral:rRNA from 1 species